rnacentral:lncRNA from 1 species
AAUUGGAAGUGAACAAGAUUUUUGCAGAGAUUUUCCUGGUCAAGAGUGCAACAUGAGUCGUGGAUAUGAACUUUACUGUCAGAUGUACAUUGAUUGGAAAGUGAACAAGAUAUCUGCACUGAGAAUGAAUGAAGUUGAAGAAAGUUGAAAGGCACCCCAGAAGAACCUGAAUUAUUUUAGCCCUAUCCUAGAUUCAUUGAAUAUUUUAGUGUGUGAUAACAUGUGUGAAAUGUUAUCAAUUAUGUGACAAUUUUCAAAACUUGGAUUU